GAUUGUUGUGUGUAGACCAAUUGUUCGCCCAAAUGCUUAAGAGAACGAAAUGCAAUAUCUGUCAUUCAUAAUCUAGGUGGCUGCUGAAAUCUAUCAUGACCUCUCUACUGAUUUUCAAAUCAAUCACAAUAUCUCCAAUCGUCGAGUAAGGUCUUGCUAGUUCUGUUGAGUACAUUCCAAAUGCAAGAGUUCCUUUGCUUAAAUACAUUAGCAGGCAACAUAAUAUUUCUUUUGAUGUCUCCGUUAAUAAUCAUCUUGGUGUAAUGAAGUCCAACGUUCUUAAAUGGCUAUCUGAAAUUGAUAACCGUUUCUGUGACAUGGUUUUAGUGCUGUAGGAGUGGGCUAAAGCACAAGAUAUUAAUGAUCCAAAGUCUGGGAGUUUAAGUUCCUAUGCCCUUUGUUUGUUGGUUAUCUUCCAUUUUCAGACCUGCGAACCACCAAUUUUCCCACCACUGCAAGCAAUAAUUAAUGAAGAAAGAAUUUCUGAUCGAGGAUGGAGUAACUUCUCUGGGAGUCCUUUUGAGGAUGUGUGUUCCGCAAAUAUACAGAGGUUCAGAUCUAGCAGAAUCAUAAACCAAAGCUCUCUUGCUCAACUUUUGCUGUCCUUUUUCGACAAGUUUUCAGAUAUUAGAACUUCUGGUUCAGAUUAUAGCAUCUCGACAUAUGAAGGACAACAAAAAAACCAUCAUUUUUGUUGAUCGCUGCCCCUGAUUAUAGAGGAUCCUUUCGAGUGAAUGGAAAAUUCUGCUAGAACAGUCCGCUGGGUUGAACUACCUAAGAUAUCAAAUGCAUUUCAGAAUGCACACAAUAAGCUUUCGUCUGGUUCGGUGCUCUCUGAUCAUGACUCCUUGCUCUCUCUUUUGACUAGGCCUUUCCUUGCUUCUAAGUUUCGUGAGCAGCAAUCGUCAACACAUUGCAUCUGUUUUAUUUGAUUAUGUGAAAGAUAACAUUUUCUUUAAUGCAAGAACAUGACACUUGAGAUAGAAAUGAGUGUAAAAUAAGUCAAUUAAUAUCUUAAUUGUCUCGGAAGAAGUCUAUUGUGUCACUUGUGCUGGGCUACUGUAUAAUUUGAAUACUUAAUUCUAUAUUUUUCCCUCUACUUGACAUUAUAAUUGUUUCUCUUUGAAAGUGCCCUUAAUCUUAGUCCUUUAUCUCGUAUUGACUUUAUUCACAGAUUAUUAGUCUUGAUGAAGCUCAUACCUCUUGAGUGCUUGACAGAUAAGUAGAUUAGAAAUCUUUGUUUUCUUAAACACACUAAUGGUUUUAUUUUGUUUCCAGACACUUGAUGGUGAAACAAGACCUAUCGGAGCUUAGUUUCUACAAUGUUACAACAGAUUUAUCUGAGAAUCCCUUAUCCCUCCUUUGAGAUAAUAAUUGUUGAUUAGGAGUCAUCCACUAGUGGGAAUUACAUGAAACCCUUGAUCAAGUUGUAUCCGCUAUUGCAUGAAUAAGUUGAUUAAAGUUGCAAGUUGAGCUUGUACUUUCACUAAGACUAGAAACUUUAUCCUUUAAUCAAGUAGUAGCUUCUUGAUGGAGUUUAUUUAGCAUAUGAAACUCAUUUAAGAUUUAUGUCUGUUGUUCAAUGUUUUUUUUGACCUCAUACUUGUUAUAAUUUUUUGUUUAUAAUGCAUUGGACCUUAUUUAACAUUGUUUAAAUUUUAAAGUGUGUAUUUAAAUAGAUAUAUAACAAGUAGCCUUAUUGAAGAAACCACAGUGCCAAAGAGGAACAUUAUUGCAGUCAUUCAAAGGUUCAAUAUCCAAGUUAGCAAUUUGACUCAACACCAACAAAGAGCUAGCUUCAUAUACAUCAACAAUCACCCUAUUCUUCAGAACUACAAUGAAUGGAAAGAAAGGUAGCAGUAUUCAGAUCGACAUUUGCUUGCCGCCAAACUCAACACCACAAUCAGAAGCAUGAAGAAGAACUACAAUUAAGUGCAAUCCUACAUGGCGUGAACCAUCAUUAAAAGUUUCUAGUCUUU